GAAGCUCCUUGUGACUGUUAAUGAGUCACAAGGAGCUUCUGGUAAUUUUGGUAAAAGCUUAUAAAUGCCGGAGAAAAUAUCUCAGUUCGAUUAUUUUAAUCCUGUAACUAUUGAAAUAUUAAACUCACUAAUAGACGACAAGUUAACGGAUACUUUUGGCAUGUAAAAGAAAAUUCAAAAUAUUGCAGAAAUAUUAACCUCUGUUCAUGUUUUAUUACAGGGAAAGUAGAGGUCUAGAAUUCACUCCUUCAAACGCUGCGUCAAAGGAUCAAGAAAGAACAAUUGAAGCUCAGUUUCAUAUACAGCGAAAAAUUAUGUUUGCGUGUGUG